rnacentral:rRNA from 1 species
CGGAGGGAUCAUUAAAGAGUUCUAUAACUCCCAAACCCAUGUGAACAUACCUAACGUUGCCUCGGCAGGUCGCACCUACCUUGUAGCACCCUACCCUGUAGGGCCUACCCGGGAGGUGCGGGUAAGCCUGCCGGCGGCCCACCAAACUCUGUUUGAUAUUGAAUUCUGAACCUAUAACUAAAUAAGUUAAAACUUUCAACAACGGAUCUCUUGGUUCUGGCAUCGAUGAAGAACGCAGCGAAAUGCGAUAAGUAAUGUGAAUUGCAGAAUUCAGUGAAUCAUCGAAUCUUUGAACGCAUAUUGCGCCCAUUAGUAUUCUAGUGGGCAGGACCGUUCGAGCGUCAUUUCAACCCUUAAGCCUUCGUUGCUUAGUGUUGGGAGCCUACGGCAACGUAGCUCCUCAAAGUUAGUGGCGGAGUUGGUUCACACUCUAGACGUAGUAAUUUUUUAUCUCGCCUAUUAGUUGGACUAAUCCCCUGCCGUAAAACCCCUAAUUUAUCAAGGUUGACCUCGAAUCGGUUCAGACAAACUCGCUAAAUUGAAGCAUCUUAGUCAGCGAAGGAAAAGAAACCAACAGGGAUUGCCCUAGUAACGGCGAGUGAAGCGGCAACAG